GAUGAACGCUAGCUACAGGCUUAACACAUGCAAGUCGAGGGACCGGCGCACGGGUGAGUAACACGUAACAAACCAGCCCUUUACUCGGGGAUAGCCUUUCGAAAGAAAGAUUAAUACCCGAUAUAAAGGAUGGGAAUGCGUUCCAUUAGGUUGUAGGUGAGGUAACGGCCCACCAAACCUUCGAUGGAUAGGGGUUGUGAGAGGAAGGGACCCCACAUUGGAACGAAGACACGGUCCAAACUCCAACGGGAGGCAGAAGUGAGAAAUAAUGUUGAAUGGGCGUUAGCCUGAAACUGCCAAGUAGCGUGAAGGAUGAAGGCUUAUGGGUCGUAAACUUCUUUUAUAUAAGAAUAUGUAUUAUAUGAAUAAGGAUCGGCUAACUCCGUGCCAGCAGCCGCGGUAAUAC
rnacentral:rRNA from 1 species